AAAAGAUGGUGUGCUUUCCUUUUUUCUGUGCCAAAAAUGAUGAAAAAAUACCACCAUGUUAUAAAUGUUUACAGACAUUAAACACCUGGGAUGAUUAUUUUUAAUUAAUAGGAAAUUAUUCACACAGGUGUGUUUCGUGUUUAUCCAAUACCUCUAAUUAAGGUGGGAUAAAAGAAAGACUUCAUAGAAUCAGAAACCACCAAAAAGUAAUUUACUGAUAUAUAUAUA
rnacentral:lncRNA from 1 species